AUUAACUAAAAAUAUUAAUAAUAACCUUAAACUUCUCUCACCAUUUCUCAACAAAAGGCAUCCAUUCAAAAUGAUCUCUAAGCUGGCUCCAUCGAAGCAAAGUCAAUUUUUAUCGCUGUAAAUGCAGGAAAUGCAGGAGGGAGAAAUAACUUGGUGUCUCUUGUAUGAUUUGUUAGUUGAUAAAACAUGCUGUUUUCUUUACUCUCUGAUGUAAUAGUACGGUCAAUGUUAUUGUAUGAAUUGACUUCCGUAGACGAGGUGCUAUGUAACACAGAACUAAGAUCAAAUGCUCUUUGCAAGCUCUUUUUGUAAUUAUUAGUUGAAUUAUGUCCUCAAAGCUUAUCUUAUGCAUAUGAGAUGUCGUUUUUACUCUCCUGCAGAUCAGACCUUAUCUGGUUUGGCUGGAAGUCCAGCAUAUGCUGUCCCUGAAGUUCCAUUGGGAAACUAUUCCGAGAAGGUCGACAUUUGGAGUGCUAAUGUCUCUUCCUACAUGCCUGCUGGUCGUAAGCCUUCCAUUUCAAGCUGACUCCUUAUAGGCUGGUUGAGGCAAUCAAGAAUGUCCAGCUUGAUCUUCACACAGGGAUAGGAGAGUCAAUAUCGAAUCCUGCACGCGAUCUGUUGCAAGGAUGUUGACAAGGGAUGUAUCAGCCAGGAUCACCACAGAUGAAGUAGUUGAUAAAUAUCUGAGACACAAUGAAAUAAGACGACGGACAUAUGAUUGCAUUUUGUUUUCUCUUCCGGGUUCACAUGUCUGCUCGUAUUGUGGCACUGGGAUUUUUUUUGCAAUUUUAUCCAACUAGAUGGGUAAGACUUAGACUACUUCGUGACAGCUUCUUUAAUGAGUGGCAGUUUGCCUUUUAAGAGAACUUCACUCUGUAGUUCCUUGUCUGCUUAGCAGCACCUUGAUGACAAGGUUUCUAGGUGAUUGCCUGUGUUUAUCUCCUCGACGAAAUCUCUAUUGUAUACUUGUCUCAGAGGUCUUUAUAUCUCUGGGAAGUAACCCCUCUGACUGAAAGAAGAAUUUUCAGCUUCCGUGCUUCGCAUAUGGGCACCCAUGGAUUUUGUUCUACCCAGAGCGCACCUUAAAGAUACUGUCCAUCAGGUCAAAAGCAAAGAAUCAAGUUGCAGAAACUUCGUCCCAGCCUGGAAAUGCACCUGUUAGAGUUGGCUGUCCUGAAGAGGACUCAAUCAGCUUCCAUCUGAUAGUUAAACCUGCAAGUCAGAAGAGCAGGACGAAUAUGAGCAAAAGAGGAGUAGAUGCAGACCCACUGGCCCAAUAGAGCCAGAGUGAUCAUCUAACAUCACAGCGAACAAUUUGUGUAGAGCAUUUUGAUUCUGCUGACAGAUUAACACCACUAACGUUGCUCAUCUCCACUGUUUUGUGAGCUGGGAGAGAAGAUCUGAAACAGCCACACCUUAACUCCAAUUUUCAGUGGGCACUGGGCGAAGAUGGUUACAGAGAAACUUAACCAUAGCUGGUAAAUAUGGUGUCAUUUCUUUUUUAUCAAACAUGACUGUAAUUUCUUUCAGUAGCCAUGUUCUCGAUUUAACUCCAAUAAUGUUUCUAGACUGAUUAGCUGAGAAAUUUGUUGAACAGAAUUUAGUAAAUAGUGCCAAUGAGCAAUUAUGAUUUAUGUUUUGAUGUCA